ACACAUGCAAGUCGAACGGAGCUUAGAGAGCUUGCUUUUUAAGCUUAGUGGCGAACGGGUGAGUAACGCGUGAGUAACCUGCCCUAGAGUGGGGGACAACAGUUGGAAACGACUGCUAAUACCGCAUAAGCCCACGGUACCGCAUGGUACUGAGGGAAAAGGAUUUAUUCGCUUUAGGAUGGACUCGCGUCCAAUUAGCUAGUUGGUAAGGUAACGGCCCACCAAGGCGACGAUUGGUAGCCGGACUGAGAGGUUGAACGGCCACAUUGGGACUGAGACACGGCCCAGACUCCUACGGGAGGCAGCAGUGGGGGAUAUUGCACAAUGGGGGGAACCCUGAUGCAGCGACGCCGCGUGGAGGAAGAAGGUUUUCGGAUUGUAAACUCCUGUCGUUAGGGACGAUAAUGACGGUACCUAACAAGAAAGCACCGGCUAACUACGUGCCAGCAGCCGCGGUAAAACGUAGGGUGCAAGCGUUGUCCGGAAUUACUGGGUGUAAAGGGAGCGCAGGCGGGAAGACAAGUUGGAAGUGAAAACCAUGGGCUCAACCCAUGAAUUGCUUUCAAAACUGUUUUUCUUGAGUAGUGCAGAGGUAGAUGGAAUUCCCGGUGUAGCGGUGGAAUGCGUAGAUAUCGGGAGGAACACCAGUGGCGAAGGCGGUCUGCUGGGCACCAACUGACGCUGAGGCUCGAAAGCAUGGGUAGCAAACAGGAUUAGAUACCCUGGUAGUCCAUGCCGUAAACGAUGAUUACUAGGUGUUGGGGGAUUGACCCCCUCAGUGCCGCAGUUAACACAAUAAGUAAUCCACCUGGGGAGUACGACCGCAAGGUUGAAACUCAAAGGAAUUGACGGGGGCCCGCACAAGCAGUGGAGUAUGUGGUUU
rnacentral:rRNA from 1 species